CUUAAGUAAUUCAGCGAAGGAACUCCUCCUCCCGGCAUGCACCGGUUCAAGUGCGCCUUCGCGGGAACGUGCUCGCGUUGCAUCCUGGGAGGCGUAGUCUCUGAGCGGCCGGGAGAUGAGGCUUGGCUCACCUGUGUUCCUGUUGCAGGGAAGGGAAGAGCAAGUGCCAUUUAGGGAAGGAAGAGGAGGAAGACAUGACAUAGCGGCAGUUCAUGUUGAAGAAGAAGGUGAAGUAGGAACCUCAUCCAAGGCAGGAAAGAAGAAAAAUGAAAGGCUCAUGGAUCGAAUUGUGUCUCCAGAAGAUAUGCCUAAGUCCUAACACCUGGUACCUGAGAAUGUGACCUGAUUUGGAAAUAGGCUCUGCAGAGAUGUAAUCAAGUUAAGAUGAAGUCAUAGUGGCUUAGACUGCGCUUGAAGUCCAAUGGCUGCUGCUUUUUGAAGGCCUUGUGAAGAGGCAGGGACACGUGAAGACAGAAGCAGUGAUGUAUCUAUAGGCCAAAGAAUGCCAAGGACGAUGGCAACCACCAGAAGAUAGCAGAGAGGCAUGGAACAGACCCUCCUCACAGCCCUCAGAAGGGACCAACCCUGCCAUGCCUUCAUCUCAGACUUCUAGCCUCUAGAACUGUGAGAGAAUAGAUCUCUGUUGGUUUAAGCUGCUCUGUACUUCGGUAGGCAGCCGCAGCAAACUAAUACUCCCCCCUCGCGGCUGUACUUGGCUGCUCUGAGUCCUGAGCCUCUCAGGAGUUCCUUCUGGGAGACAGAUCAGCUCACUUCCUGCUGGGGUCCCUCCUGCCCGCAUUCUGGGAAGUUACUUCCUUACACCUUCCAAUACCUGAGGACAUCGCCUCUCCUCUCACAUUCUAUUGUCCUUUAAAAAAAAAUAAAAAGAAAUACAACUUAUUUCUAAUCACAAUUAAUAGUAUUAAAUAAGUCAAUAAAAUAUUGAACAAAGGUGUUCAUUUCAGAAUUAUCUCUAUUAGCACAAAAAAGUAGGGAAUGACUGAAUAAAUGAUGACAAGUCUACUGAUUGGAAUACUAGGUUGCCAUUUAAAAUGAUAACAAGAAAAUUAUAUUAGGAAUGUGGAAACAUGCAUGUCAUUAACUUUAUGUUAAGUGACCAAAGUAGGUCAUAUUAGUGUAUCUGGGUAAACAUGUGUUUGCCUGUGGAUAAUGAAGGGCAUGACAGGAGUAAGAGAAUGUGGGGUCCUUAUUUCUCCUAACAGUCCGCUCUCAGUGAUUCGGAUAUUCUCUAAGGCAGUAUCUAUUUUCUCUGCUGUGCUAUUACUUUCUGAGUCCUUACCAGCAGAGCUAACAAUCUUACUUGUGCUAACAUUUUGUUCAAGGCAUUAUACACCCUUUCUAUCAGGCUUUUCCAAAUUCUUCCAGCCUCUUUCAUUGCCCAAGGAAGUUUAUCUUUUAAAAAAUUCCUUCUUGAUUAUAUUAAUGAAAUUCUCAGGAAGAUGAAGAGAUAAACUAGUGAGGUCAUUCCACCAUGAUUAAUUGGCAACAUCACCCACCUUGACAUGUGAAUGUGUUAGAUCAGGGACAACUUGACAUAAAGUAUUUCUGAGAAAGUUUUCUAUAGCAACCAGCUAAACAGAUUGCAUGAGUCCUCUAGGAACUGCUCUCCCUGGAAUCUCUUCCCUGAUCCCUGUAUCCUUCCCACUAAAGCAUUUAGAGUUUUAUUUUGUAGAUGGGAGGUUCAGCAAGGUAAAGCAUUGCUGGGCAACAUGGGGAUGCCCUUCACUUCCUCAGGGCUGUAUAUUG